rfam:Myotis brandtii contig284182, whole genome shotgun sequence.
AGCAGUUCUUAGGUGAUGCACCCUGGAAUCGGGCUCCCAGCUCUCUGGUUCCAGGGAGCAUCAGAGAACCACC